UCCCCGAUAGCUCAGCUGGUAGAGCAACGGACUGUUAAUCCGUGGGUCGCAGGUUCGAGCCCUGCUCGGGGAGCCA
rnacentral:tRNA from 1 species